GAUCGCCGUCGUGCGGUGAAUCGCGAUAAUUACAACGCUACCGUUAAUGAUAAAGCACACGGAUAGUUCGCACAGGAAUCGCGCGAUCAAAGGGACCAAUCUCGGGACUAUUAUAAAUUGAUAAGACCGGCGUUACAUCUCCAGUGGCGGCCAGACGACGUGAGACGUACAUACAAAAGCACGUUCGAUAAGCGUAAAACGCGUUAAUGGAAACUCCAGCCGAAACGUGUUCCGCGAAGUGCUUAGCAUACCGACUAAAUUGGAGGUGAAAUUUCAAGCCGAAGGCAAUGCUGCACACUCUCGUUCCUCGCCGUUAUCGUGGAAUCAUCGAUUCGAGAUAUCGAGCCUCGAAACAAAUUUCGCAUAUAUGAUUUCUCGAUUCCUUUCGGAUCGGACGCGCCACGCUCGAAUUGCGAUGGAGAAUGUUUUCGCGGAAUUGAAGAAUCAUUAAUGGUAGGCCCGCUAACGAGGACCUCGUUCGAAACGAUCGACUUCCCGCGCGAGCCGAGCGAGUCGCGUGUGUGCACCUGCGUUUCACGUCCGAUUAACGUGUACGAUCUGUAAACAGUGUGCGACUUUCUACUUUCCUCCGCCGGGCCGGGGCAGCAGGAUUGUCGAACGACCGGCAUACAUCUCGCGAUUUCGCGGUAUGACGUCGCCCAGCAGCGCGACGACGUUGCAGCGAUUCUCGCGAUGCAACGAUACCCGCGAUGACCGAAGAGGAAACCAAGGCGGGGCAAAAGUGACAGCGCUUAUCCAAUCGAUGCUUCUGCGCCAAUUAAUCUUUUCAAUCUCGACAGUAUUCAUGAAGACGUUCAACCCAUAGCGCGCAAUAAAAGCAAUCAAACGCUUUCCUUUACAAUGAGAGGAGCGCGACGCUCGAGGAAAUUCGCGUUAAAAAUCACACUUUGCCGACUACAGUAAAUGAUAAAACUAACCGUGAUUAAAUCUCUUCCAGGAUUUUUCUUCGCGCGAGACGCGAGAAACUCUCUUUACGCAUGAUAUAAUCACAUUUCUCAGAGAAGAAAGAAGAGAAUGACGCUUAAUGAAGGAAAAUUUAAAAACUCGAUGACUCUUCGACAGAAAAUGUCACACGUUUCAUCAUUAUAAAGAGAAAGGAUUAAAAGUGCUACUCCAUUGGGCGAUCCGGAAGGAAGCCCGGGAUGUGGAAGGAGAGAAAGAAUUGUGAGGGAAGUGAACGCGUGCGCGACCGGAAAUCCCAGCCGAUCUUAUCUAUAUACGAUUCUCGUUCAUUUGUUUCUUUGUUGAAGGCAAUGAUCGUUUAAAGCGAGGACCGUCUGAGCAUGUCCACUUGUUCUUCGCUAAUUGCCGAGGGUUUAACGACCCGAAAGCUACGGACAAACAUCGCGAUUUCAAGACGUGUAUCGAACAGUGCAUCGAAAUAUCGCUUUUUAUUUCCUCCUUUCUGUUCCGCGCGGCAAAUUCACGGCUUAAAAAUCGUGUGAUUUUCUUUGAUAUUUUUCAGGAUCAAUUGAGUACCGCGAUAAAUCGUCGCCGUGAGAACCGCCGGUAAUUAACUAGAAAAUACCGAAAAAGCCGUGAUAAAGCGAGAGCUGUAGAACACUAUUUAAUUACCUAUCUAUCCCGCUGAAGCUUCACUAGAUACGUUUAUUCCCUCUAAUUGUCGGCGUUAAAUAACUUUUUAAUUAACCUUUGACUUUAAUUAUAUCAGUAUGCGCUUUUGUAGGACACCUAAACUAACUUGACCUAUUCUUCUGAAAUACCGCCAAUUUGUCUCUCCUUCUCUCUUUCUUUCAAAAGAGAGUUGCGCUAUCAUUAGAGAGAUAUUCUGGCAAGUGCCAGAGUUUGCCGUACCCUCCCGAAUUACAGCCAAUUUAUUUCCCUGUCUCGAGAGCCACCACUUUACUAACGUUACACAGAUACGCCUGAACACCCCGUGUCUGUAUUUUUUGCCCCACCUUCCCGAAAUAUAAUACAACAGGAUUGUU